rnacentral:rRNA from 1 species
AACAAACGCUGGCGGCGUGCCUAAUACAUGCAAGUCGAACGGGGAAAGCUUUCGGGUGAGUACUAGUGGCGCACGGGUGAGGAACGCGUGGAUAAUCUGCCUUAGAGUGGGGGAUAACUAGUCGAAAGAUUAGCUAAUACCGCAUAAGACCACAGGAGCUGCGGCUCAAGGGGUCAAAGGUUUUUCGCUCUAAGAUGAGUCCGCGUAAGAUUAGCUAGUUGGUGAGGUAACGGCUCACCAAGGCGACGAUCUUUAACUGGUCUGAGAGGAUGAUCAGUCACACUGGAACUGAGACACGGUCCAGACUCCUACGGGAGGCAGCAGUAGGGAAUAUUGCACAAUGGAGGAAACUCUGGUGCAGCGACGCCGCGUGAGUGAUGAAGGCCUUCGGGUCGUAAAGCUCUGUCGCAGGGGAAUAACACAAUGAAUGUACCCUGUAAGAAAGGAUCGGCUAACUUCGUGCCAGCCGCCGCUGUAAUAC